GGCCAGACUCCUACGGGAGGCAGCAGUGAGGAAUAUUGGUCAAUGGACGAGAGUCUGAACCAGCCAAGUAGCGUGAAGGAUGACUGCCCUAUGGGUUGUAAACUUCUUUUAUAUGGGAAUAAAACAGGGUAUGCAUACCCUCUUGUAUGUACCAUAUGAAUAAGGAUCGGCUAACUCCGUGCCAGCAGCCGCGGUAAUACGGAGGGUGCGAGCGUUAAUCGGAAUUACUGGGCGUAAAGCGCUCGUAGGCGGUAUGUCAAGUCAAGGGUGAAAUCCCCGCGCUCAACGUGUGAACUGCCUUUGAAACUGGCAAACUGGAGUGUGUGAGAGGAUAGUGGAAUUCCAGGUGUAGGAGUGAAAUCCGUAGAUAUCUGGAGGAACAUCAGUGGCGAAGGCGACUAUCUGGCACAUAACUGACGCUGAGGAGCGAAAGCGUGGGUAGCAAACAGGAUUAGAUACCCGCGUAA
rnacentral:rRNA from 1 species